UGAAUUGCCAAUGGGCGAAGCCUGAUGUCCNNNGCCGCACUGAAAAGAUGAAGGCCUUCGGUUUCGUAAAGCUCUGUCCUCAAGGAAGAUAAUGACGGUACUUGAGGAGGAAGCCCCGGCUAACUACGUGCCAGCAGCCGCGGUAAUAAAA
rnacentral:rRNA from 1 species